GAUGAACGCUAGUGGGAGGCCUAACAUAUGCAAGCCGAGCGGUAUUGUUUCUUCGGAAAUGAGAGAGCGGCGUACGGGUGCGGAACACGUGUGCAACCUGCCUUUAUCUGGGGGAUAGCCUUUCGAAAGGAAGAUUAAUACUCCAUAACAUAUUGAUUGGCAUCAAUUAAUAUUGAAAGCUCCGGCGGAUAGAGAUGGGCACGCGCAAGAUUAGCUAGUUGGUGAGGUAACGGCUCACCAAGGCGAUGAUCUUUAGGGGGCCUGAGAGGGUGAUCCCCCACACUGGUACUGAGACACGGACCAGACUCCUACGGGAGGCAGCAGUGAGGAAUAUUGGUCAAUGGGUGCAAGCCUGAACCAGCCAUCCCGCGUGAAGGACGACUGCCCUAUGGGUUGUAGACUUCUUUUGUAUAGGGAUAAACCUACCCUCGUGAGGGUAGCUGAAGGUACUAUACGAAUAAGCACCGGCUAACUCCGUGCCAGCAGCCGCGGUAAUACGGAGGGUGCAAGCGUUAUCCGGAUUUAUUGGGUUUAAAGGGUCCGUAGGCGGACUUAUAAGUCAGUGGUGAAAGCCUGUCGCUUAACGAUAGAACUGCCAUUGAUACUGUAAGUCUUGAGUAUAUUUGAGGUAGCUGGAAUAAGUAGUGUAGCGGUGAAAUGCAUAGAUAUUACUUAGAACACCAAUUGCGAAGGCAGGUUACCAAGAUAUAACUGACGCUGAGGGACGAAAGCGUGGGGAGCGAACAGGAUUAGAUACCCUGGUAGUCCACGCCGUAAACGAUGCUAACUCGUUUUUGGGCUUUAGGGUUCAGAGACCAAGCGAAAGUGAUAAGUUAGCCACCUGGGGAGUACGCUCGCAAGGGUGAAACUCAAAGGAAUUGACGGGGGCCCGCACAAGCGGUGGAUUAUGUGGUUUAAUUCGAUGAUACGCGAGGAACCUUACCGAGACUUAAAUGGGAAUUGGCAGCUUUAGAAAUAGAACUUUCUUCGGACAAUUUUCAAGGUGCUGCAUGGUUGUCGUCAGCUCGUGCCGUGAGGUGUUAGGUUAAGUCCUGCAACGAGCGCAACCCCUGUCACUAGUUGCCAUCAUUCAGUUGGGGACUCUAGUGAGACUGCCUACGCAAGUAGAGAGGAAGGUGGGGAUGACGUCAAAUCAUCACGGCCCUUACGUCUUGGGCCACACACGUAAUACAAUGGCCGGUACAGAGGGCAGCUACACAGCGAUGUGAUGCAAAUCUCGAAAGCCGGUCUCAGUUCGGAUUGGAGUCUGCAACUCGACUCUAUGAAGCUGGAAUCGCUAGUAAUCGCGCAUCAGCCAUGGCGCGGUGAAUACGUUCCCGGGCCU
rnacentral:rRNA from 1 species